GCUCUACACUUGAUCGCUGAAAGUUUUCUCAUUUCUCAGGUAAGUCCUGUUGAGAAACUAUCCACACCUGAUGCA
rfam:Selaginella moellendorffii unplaced genomic scaffold SELMOscaffold_57, whole genome shotgun sequence.